CUGUGAGGUAUGCUGGAGGUAUCAGAAGUGCGAAUGCUGACAUAAGUAACGAUAAAGCGGGUGAAAAGCCCGCUCGCCGGAAGACCAAGGGUUCCUGUCCAACGUUAAUCGGGGCAGGGUGAGUCGACCCCUAAGGCGAGGCCGAAAGGCGUAGUCGAUGGGAAACAGGUUAAUAUUCCUGUACUUGGUGUUACUGCGAAGGGGGGACGGAGAAGGCUAUGUUGGCCGGGCGACGGUUGUCCCGGUUUAAGCGUGUAGGCUGGUUUUCCAGGCAAAUCCGGAAAAUCAAGGCCGAGGCGUGAUGACGAGGCACUACGGUGCUGAAGCAACAAAUGCCCUGCUUCCAGGAAAAGCCUCUAAGCAUCAGGUAACAUCAAAUCGUACCCCAAACCGACACAGGUGGUCAGGUAGAGAAUACCAAGGCGCUUGAGAGAACUCGGGUGAAGGAACUAGGCAAAAUGGUGCCGUAACUUCGGGAGAAGGCACGCUGAUACGUAGGUGAAGCGACUUGCUCGUGGAGCUGAAAUCAGUCGAAGAUACCAGCUGGCUGCAACUGUUUAUUAAAAACACAGCACUGUGCAAACACGAAAGUGGACGUAUACGGUGUGACGCCUGCCCGGUGCCGGAAGGUUAAUUGAUGGGGUUAGCGCAAGCGAAGCUCUUGAUCGAAGCCCCGGUAAACGGCGGCCGUAACUAUAACGGUCCUAAGGUAGCGAAAUUCCUUGUCGGGUAAGUUCCGACCUGCACGAAUGGCGUAAUGAUGGCCAGGCUGUCUCCACCCGAGACUCAGUGAAAUUGAACUCGCUGUGAAGAUGCAGUGUACCCGCGGCAAGACGGAAAGACCCCGUGAACCUUUACUAUAGCUUGACACUGAACAUUGAGCCUUGAUGUGUAGGAUAGGUGGGAGGCUUUGAAGUGUGGACGCCAGUCUGCAUGGAGCCGACCUUGAAAUACCACCCUUUAAUGUUUGAUGUUCUAACGUGGACCCGUAAUCCGGGUUGCGGACAGUGUCUGGUGGGUAGUUUGACUGGGGCGGUCUCCUCCUAAAGAGUAACGGAGGAGCACGAAGGUUGGCUAAUCCUGGUCGGACAUCAGGAGGUUAGUGCAAUGGCAUAAGCCAGCUUGACUGCGAGCGUGACGGCGCGAGCAGGUGCGAAAGCAGGUCAUAGUGAUCCGGUGGUUCUGAAUGGAAGGGCCAUCGCUCAACGGAUAAAAGGUACUCCGGGGAUAACAGGCUGAUACCGCCCAAGAGUUCAUAUCGACGGCGGUGUUUGGCACCUCGAUGUCGGCUCAUCACAUCCUGGGGCUGAAGUAGGUCCCAAGGGUAUGGCUGUUCGCCAUUUAAAGUGGUACGCGAGCUGGGUUUAGAACGUCGUGAGACAGUUCGGUCCCUAUCUGCCGUGGGCGCUGGAGAACUGAGGGGGGCUGCUCCUAGUACGAGAGGACCGGAGUGGACGCAUCACUGGUGUUCGGGUUGUCAUGCCAAUGGCACUGCCCGGUAGCUAAAUGCGGAAGAGAUAAGUGCUGAAAGCAUCUAAGCACGAAACUUGCCCCGAGAUGAGUUCUCCCUGACCCUUUAAGGGUCCUGAAGGAACGUUGAAGACGACGACGUUGAUAGGCCGGGUGUGUAAGCGCAGCGAUGCGUUGAGCUAACCGGUACUAAUGAACCGUGAGGCUUAACCUUACAACGCCGAAG
rnacentral:rRNA from 1 species